GACGAACGCUGGCGGCGUGCCUAAUACAUGCACGUAGAACGCAGUUGCGAACGGGGGAGUAACGCGUAGGUAACUGCCUCAUAGCGGGGGAUAACUAUUGGAAACGAUAGCUAAUACCGCAAACUGAGAGAUGGACCUGCGUUGUAUUAGCUAGUUGGAUAGGUAAAGGCUCACCAAGGCGACGAUACAUAGCCGACCUGAGAGGGUGGUCGGGCACACUGGGACUGAGACCCGGCCCAAACUCCUACGGGAGGCAGCAGGAGGGGAUCGUCGGCAAUGGACGUAAGCCUGACCGAGCAACGCCGCGUGAGUGAAGGAGGUUUUCGGGGCGUAAAGCUCUGUUGUUAGAGGAGCGGUACCUAACCAAAAAGGGACGGCUAACUACGUGCCAGCAGCCGCGGUAAUAC
rnacentral:rRNA from 1 species